rnacentral:ncRNA from 1 species
GACGAAUCAUCUCCGUGCAAAUAAAGUUUCCGGUGAGACAUUGUGCGGAGU